GUGUUCACUUCAGCAGCACAUAUACUAAAAUUGGAGUGUUAUACAUUUAGCAUAGCCCCUGCACAAGGAUGACAUGCAAAUUUGUGAAGCAUUCCAUAUUUUU